rnacentral:rRNA from 1 species
GAGAAUGACUAUUUUUUAUCUAUGAGUCUUGACCAAAUUACGUGCCAGCAGUCGCGGUAAUACGUAGAAGACGAGUGUUAUUCAUAUUUAAUCGGUAUAAAGGGUACCUAGACGGAAAACCAAGCCUAGUAAGGGACUAGUUUAUAUCUAGAGUUUUAUGGGAGAAUAUUCGAAUUACCAGAGGAGAGUUAGAAUUCGUUUAUACUGGUAGGACGGGUAACGGCAAAGGCAAUAUUCUAUGUAAAAACUGACGUUGAGGGACGAAGCCUUGGGGAGCGAUUAGGAUUUGAUACCCUAGUAGUCCUUGGAGACAAUUAUGAAUGUCAUAGACUAGAGUAUAAUUUAGUUUAUAAAUGAAAGUGUAAGCAUUCCACCUUAAGACUAAAGCGGCAACGCCCAAAUUGAAAUCAUUAGACCGUUUCUGAAACCAGUACUGAAGUAUGUUAUUUAAUUCGAUGAUCCGCGAAUAACCUUACCACGUUUUGAAUACUAAUGCAAAUUAUUACAAGCGCUGCAUGGCUGUCUUCAGUUAAUGUCGUGAGAUUUUGGUUAAUUCCUUUAAUUAGCGAAAGCCCUUACUUUAGUUAUUUUCUAAAGUAUUUUUUUCUAUAUAUAUAGAAAAAAUAAUAGGGACCAAGACAAGUCAUC